UCCAAUAAUGGGCAGCUGGAGAUCCCUCACAUAACUGACAACACUAAGGGUCAAAGAGGCUUCUGAUACCCCUGAGGGAGAGCACUGCUGGCUUCCAGCACUCUACUCAUCGUACUGCACUUACCUAAGUUACCGAUAACCCUCUUGUUGCUACUGCCAAUGAAAGUGCCUUUUGCCUCCUGCCAUGAUUCUGAGGCCUCCCCAGCCAUAUGGAACUGUACAAAGUUAUAUUAGGACCCCUCUCCUAUGAAAUCAACAAGAAUUGUGUCUCUUCCUCAUGCCCUCAACUCCACUGAGGAUCCUGCCCUGUCUUAGGAAACCACUGCCAUAGACGGAGCUUCACUCCGUAGCCAGGCUGGAAUGCAAUGGCGCAAUCUCGGCUCACUGCAACCUCCACCUCUCGGGUUCAAGCAAUUCUCCUGCCUCAGUGUCUUGAAUAGCUAGGACUACAGGCACACGCCACCACAUCCAGCUAAGUUUUGUAUUUUUAGUAGAUACGGGGUUUCACCAUGUUGCCCAGAAGGGUCUCGAUCUCUUAACCUCGUGAUCUGCCUGCCUCGGCCUCCCAAAGUGCUGGGAUUACAGUUGUGAGCCACUGCACCCAAUCCCUAUUUUUCAAAUCUUGGGUUAGCUACUAACCAGUUGAGUGGCCUCAGGCAAAUUUAAGCUCCCUGGGCCUCAGGGCCUCCAUGUGUAAAAUGAUUAGUGAUACAACUUACUUAAGUGUGAGAAUUAAAUGAGAUAAAGUAUUAGAAUGUUCCCCAUGAUGCUUGACACAUUAAGUAGACACUAAAUAUAUUUUCAUUCUCUCCUUUAAUUUGCCAAGAAUCAGUGGUGAUAUUUUUAGCAAACAUGAUUAUUUGAAAGAGGAAGGCAUCAGUUGAGGUGAUAGAAAAUAAAAUAAAAGAAGCCGAGAUGAAGGACGAAACUCAUAGUCUUUACAAAAGGCUUUAUUAACAGGCAAAGGUUUGCUUAUAAAAUUAGUGAUCAAUGGUUUAAAUAAUACUCUUAAAAAGAAAAAGUCUAACUUAUCCACAAAAUAAAUGUAAAUAACAGGGGAACUCAAUUUACUCUAUGUAGGGAAAGAUUAAAUUGGUGAACGUUAGAGGAAGAAAGUUUGAGCUCCAAAACCCAUCAGGUUCUUCCCCAUCCUCACUCGGGAAGCUUUGCCACUUGUUAUUUCCUCUGUAAAGGGUUCUUCUCAUGGCUGAUUCCUUGGGAUCUUCCCUUCCUUCAAAGUAUCCUUUUUGAGCACUGUGUAAGCCUUUUACAGAAUCCUGUUUAUUUACCUCAUCACUGUUGUUUAUUUACUUGGUUAGCUGGUGAGUC